GCCAAAUCACAAUAAAAUAAAAAAAUAAAAAGUGGAGACGUGACACAGCCCUUGCCCUAAGCGAACAGCCGACUACUGCUGUUCUUCCCCGCUCGCGCAGGCAGAACGAUGUUUGCUUCUGGUCUCCGAUUUGGAUCUCUCCCACAGGUCUCGCCUGUCUUUCGUAUGGGAGAAUCGGCAUGGAUCGGAUGGCUCUGUUCCGGAGCGGCGUCACCGCCGAGGCGGCUCUUACUGUCAUUACUUCGGUAGGGUCUGCCGUCUUCCAAUCCCUAAACGAGUACGGUAAAAUAAAUUUGUUCUUGGCUAUUGACUAUGUCGUCUGUUCCGCCGACGGGGUCGCCAGUCGCGGCCUCAUUCACAUGGCUGCGGCCGCACUCGAUCUCGUGAAAUCUGGCAUCCAGAUGAGUGUGUUCAUGUUAAUUAAGUCUUCUAGAGUUUCGAUCCUGGCUCUACCGGAUCCGGUUAACUGGAAUCUCGCGAUCGACAAGUCCUAUUUGACGAAGAUCCAUAAUUUCUACUACUGUUUAGUUCAACACAAAUUUCUCUCGGAAUAAUUUCAGAUCUACUCGUCGAAGUACAAGAGCAUCUCCACUUAUUCAGUCUCUUGCUAAAAGACCAAAGGGUCCGAAGAUCGGUGCUGACACUGCUACGAGCCUACGAUACAAAGCUCUAGGGAGUUGGAAGUUCGGAUUUUAUUAGUCAUUGAAGAAGUAUUACUGUGAUAUCGUUGACCCUGAGUAUGCUAUCAAAUAUAACACUCUAGAUACCUGUCCGGUUCUGCUUCUGCUGAGGUGACUGCUGUCGUUGCACCCUGCCCCUUUGAGGCUGUUAAGUGCGAGUGCUGAGGGUUUGCUUGAGAUUUGAGUGAUGGACUACUCAGUUUUGUUAAAUCAGAAGGAGCAUUGGUGUUGUACUAGGUGGCUUCUCCCACUUCAAGAAUGUCAGAUUUCUCAUGAGUUUAUUUUUUUUCUGUUACACUCUUUGAUUUUGAUUAGCUUUUUAUGAUUGUUAUUUUGUUUAUUGUGUAUUCUUUCUAGACCAUAAAUUCAUAUUUGCAAAUGUCAAGAUAAGUAAAAAAAAAAAGGCUUUUUUUUUGCAUGUUCUUGAUGAAAACUGUUACUAAGAAAUGUGGUUCAUCCAUCAUGAUAACUGUCAUGCCGGUAACUUGCAAGCGUCACAAUUGUCCUUCCAAUUGAUCCUUUCUGUUACUAGGGAAAUCUUAUAUGGCUUAGUUUGACAAUACUUUGGACUCUAGAUUUUAUUCCCUUCUAUUUUUGGUUUCUUCUUGAGUCACUCCCUAUGAAUAUUGAUACAAGUAAUUUAAGCCAUGUGUUUCAACUACUUGGAUUGACCACUAGAUGUCACUCUACCACCGACCUCUAUUGAAGGAAAUUCUCAUUAGCAAUACUUGUUAAUUUAACUAACCAUAUUUGUUUACAUUGACAGUGCUCUAUUUUCUUAUAUUUACUGUUGUUUUUCAGAUCCAGACAACUAUUUUUUAUGAAUUAACUAUUUUUAAGAAAAAAACUAUGGACCAAGUUAAGUAAAUUUUCAAUAGUUGUUUUAAAUUUCUCCAAAACUAGAUUUAUGAAAUUUCACAAAUGAACAUGCCUUAGUGUUAAGCUUCCUUGUAUAAUACCUUUGACCAAUGCACUCUUUCCAUUGGCAAUGGAACAUAAUUAAAACUAUCUACAUUUCCUGCUUUUUAUUCUCUGCCUUUGUCAUUACUUUUGUUGCCUCCAUGUAUCUUUAUUCUAAUUCUGUGUGAAUGUCAAAAAAAAUAGAAUUCAUGCAUAUUACUAAAUAUUUUUUUCUUUAAGAUGUAGUCACAAGGUUUUAACAUCAGGAACACAAAAUUGAAGGUAUUGGAAUGCUCAUUGUUUUGUUCCUGUAAUUGAUUACCAGAUGUUUUAACUGAUUAUCACUCUAUUGUUUUAUUUAGUUUUGAAGGCAGAAAAAGUUUUAGAAUCACUUACACGUUUAUACUAGAUUACUAUUUUUUGAAACCUAUUCCAUAUUCAUUAAUGACUUAGGCAUUCUCCUUUUCCAUUCUAUUAAAAUCCACUAAUUCAAUCAUGCUCAUGUCGCCAAGGAUUUAUAUAUAUCAGUUUGGCCUGUUUUUUCUCAUUAUUCUUCUCUUAACAUUCAAAUAAUUUACAGGUGUUUAAUGUUGUUAUUUUCUUUCAUGCAUGAUUGUCUUUUACCUUUAAUCAUAUACUAUUGCUAGUAUAUGAAUGCAUUAUGUAGGGUAAACCAACUAUUAAUGAUAUUUGAUCAGCACAUUUCUGGUAAGAAACCCCUUCCCAAACUAUGCUUUUUGUUCAAUUUGCUUUCUUUCUCACUUAAUCCAUUUUGUAAGGCCAUGUAGGUUGGCUUCAUGCCUAUGCUAAAGAUUUUGGCCAUGUAACGUCAGGAAUUGUGGUUUUUCAUAAUAUUAGGCUUCUCUUACAUCACGCAAUUUGAAAAAAGGCAUAUGUUGGUACCAUGAUGAGAUCAUUUAAAACUUGUUGAAACUUCCUACAAAUAAUCUUUUUUCACAACCAAAGAGCUGGUGUAGCAAACAGUCCAGCUUAGAUUGAGUUUUGUUGGUGUUUUUCUGUGUGAUUGUUUCUCAUUUUGUGGACAAUCUUUUCUCUUUCCUAAACACAAUGCCAAGGGCUGUUGGUGAUGUACGGUUUGUCAUUUUUCUCAUUUGAAUUUUCAUGUUUAAUUUUUCAUGUACAGAAUGUCUUUUCCCAUAAACUAGGUUGUGAAUAAACUUGGGCUAGUUUUGCUUGCGAGCUUUCCCUUGGUAUAAUAAUGAGUGGAACUCCAACUGUGCUCAAUGGGGAACUAUGACGCAUUCAAAGUUUUGGUUGGCCUGUAAAUACCCUCGUAUUUCUUACUCCUGUUGAUGUGAAACUAAUAUGCUUUACACAACUGGAGUGGCUCUGCUGCUUUUCCUGUUGCACAGGUUUGAUGACAUGAAAGCGGUUGCUUAAUUGUGUAGAGAUUCUUUUUGCAGCCUUAAAGUUUUUUGUCAACCAUUUCUGUGAUUAGAUUUAUAUUCUUUCAGAACAAUGCAUUAUUUACUUUCAAGAUUUAUCGAUAUCUUUUCUAUGAUCUGUUCUUAUUUCCCUGACCAUUCGUUACAUAUGGUGAUAUUGCAUUUGGAAUCCCAUAAAAUAGAAAGGUUUUCAAUAGGUAUGGAUUCUUGACUCUUCUAUAGAGGCAAGUUUUGAAACUUUUUUUUCUCAUUCUCUUGAGAUUUCUAUGUCAAUGUUUUAUUAUAUGUUUAUCUUAUGUGUAUCUUAUAGAUGGAAGCCUCACUAACACUAUUCCCUACUAGAUUCUAGUACUAUUAACACCCUUUGCACAGUUGUUUAGAACAAUUCCCUACAAUGCUAAACUGCAUUGGCUGGUUAAAACUAAAGCUAAGGUUGCCAAUUUGGACAGCCACAGGUUAUAGGGUUUGGGUUAGGCAAUUUUCAAUAGCAACAUUGAAGCUUAUGCAAUGCAAUAUGGUACAUGCAUACAAGAAACUAGCACAAGGAAGAAAAGAAGGGGAGCAUGUAUGACAUAAAUGUUCACCCGAUACAAUCUUCCAAUAGUUAAAGCUGUAUUUUCCUGCUUGCAAUCCUACAAGAAAGUUUCGCAAGUCUCAAGAUACAGGACAUGUAUUUUCCUGAUUACGAUACUACAAGAAAGUUUAGCAAGUCUCAAGAUACAGGACAUGUAAAUCAAUAAAUUAUAAGACAAGGAAGAAAAGGGGGCUUAUAUUGACAAAUGUUCACCCAAUACCAAUCUUUGGAUAGUUGGAACUCUAUUUUCUUGCUCGUGAUACUUUGAGAAAGUAUUGCAAUUUUCAAGAUACAUGACAUGGGACGUUAAAAGGAAAAAUCUAUAGCACAAGAAAUGAAAGGGAGGUUAUACUUGACUUAAAUGCUCUCCCGAUGCAAUCUAUUUUUCCUGCUUGUCAUACUGCACGAAAGUUUUACAUGUCUGAAGAUAUUGACAUGAAAAAUGAAAAGUACUAUAUACGAGGGGAAAGAAGAAAAAACAGGAAUAGAAUACAAGAUAUGAGGAUGCUUUCCCAAGAGCCCUCAUCCUCGACCUGUUCUCGUGCAGAUCUUCCUCUCUUGCAGGAUCCAUCCUUUUCCGGCUUCUCUUCCCUCCCUUAAUUGGGAAGACUCUCCUUUCCGGCACUAAUCUUUCCUUUACAAACACUUGCCACAAUCGUCUUUUGAAGACCUCUAAUUUAUAGGUAAUUGAUUAAAAAUUGUGUAUGUUUAUUAUUUACUCGUAUUAUUUGCUUAAAAUGAGUCUCAAGAAGGUGUAUUAUUUAAUUAAUUGUGCAAGUUGUUAAAUUUGUAAUUGAUUAAAUUUGAUUUCUUAUUGUUGGUUAUUCA